rnacentral:rRNA from 1 species
UGGGGAAUAUUGGACAAUGGGCGCAAGCCUGAUCCAGCAAUGCCGCGUGUGUGAAGAAGGCCUUCGGGUUGUAAAGCACUUUUAUCAGGAGCGAAACGCUGUCGGCUAAUACCCGGCGGAACUGACGGUACCUGAGGAAUAAGCACCGGCUAACUUCGUGCCAGCAGCCGCGGUAAUACGAAGGGUGCAAGCGUUAAUCGGAAUUACUGGGCGUAAAGCGUGCGUAGGCGGUUCCUUAAGUCUGCUGUGAAAUCCCCGGGCUCAACCUGGGAAUGGCAGUGGAUACUGGGAGGCUAGAGUGUGUCGGAGGGUGGUGGAAUUCCCGGUGUAGCGGCGAAAUGCGUAGAGAUCGGGAGGAACAUCAGUGGCGAAGGCGGCCACCUGGGACAACACUGACGCUGAGGCACGAAAGCGCGGGGAGCAAACAGGAUUAGAUACCCUGGUAGUCCACGCCCUAAACGAUGCGAACUGGAUGUUGGUCUCAACUCGGAGAUCAGUGUCGAAGCUAACGCGUUAAGUUCGCCGCCUGGGGAGUACGGUCGCAAGACUGAAACUCAAAUGAAUUGACGGGGUCAUAGCUGUUUCC